GGGAUAGCUCAGCAGUUAGAGCACAGACUACUCUUCCUGAGGACCUGGGUUCAAUUCCCAGAACCCA
rnacentral:tRNA from 1 species